GUGCCAGCAGCCGCGGUAAUACGGAGAGUGCGAGCGUUGUUCGGAAUAACUGGGCGUAGAGUGCGAGCAGGCGGAUUGGCAAGUCGAUUGUGAAAGCCCGGAGCUUAACUUCGGAAUUGCAGUCGAAACUGCUAAUCUUGAAUGCCUGAGAGGGUAACGGAAUUCUUGGUGUAGAAGUGAAAUUCGUAGAUAUCAGGAGGAACACUUGUGGCGAAGGCGGUUACCUGGCAGUGCAUUGACGCUGAAUCGCGAAAGCGUGGGGAGCAAACAGGAUUAGAUACCCUGGUAGUCCACGCGGUAAACGAUGGAUACUUGCUGUCUGGAGUGUUAAACCUCUGGGUGGCGAAGCUAACGCGUUAAGUAUCCCGCCUGGGGAGUACGGUCGCAAGGCUAAAACUCAAAUGAAUUGACGG
rnacentral:rRNA from 1 species